CACGCCGUAAACGGUGGGUACUAGGUGUGGGUUUCCUUCCUUGGGAUCCGUGCCGUAGCUAACGCAUUAAGUACCCCGCCUGGGGAGUACGGCCGCAAGGCUAAAACUCAAAGGAAUUGACGGGGGCCCGCACAAGCGGCGGAGCAUGUGGAUUAAUUCGAUGCAACGCGAAGAACCUUACCUGGGUUUGACAUGCACAGGACGACUGCAGAGAUGUGGUUUCCCUUGUGGCCUGUGUGCAGGUGG
rnacentral:rRNA from 1 species